CUGUGAGAUCAUGACCUCAGCCGAAAGUUGGACGCUUAACCGAUUGAGCCAGCCAGGCGCCCCUCUGUGGGGUUAUUUUUUAACACUUCCUAUCUCUGUUGGGAACCCCAAUCUUGUCUUUCACGUGGAGUUUUUCCUUUGGCCUCACAGAGUGUGAUGAUAGAAGCUGCUGGAAGUCUGAUCAUUUCUGCGUUUGGGCUGUCUAGAGGCUGGCCUUUGUCCACUGUCUUUCUUCUAGAGAUUUGUUCACUUCCCUUGGUGUUUCUGGCUGUGUCCUCCCCAUGGGGAGUGUCACGUUCCUCAGACUCUCCGUGCAGGGUCCCAUUAUCAUCUCCUGGAGAAUGCUGAUGCUUUUGUUUGCUUCCUUCCCUGAGCGGGAUUUCGGCUUGGUUUUCAGUCACAAAUUCUGUUUCACCGUCUGCGGCCCGUGGUUCUAAUCUCGGCUCUGCGUUCAAAGCUUUGCUGUGCUGCCUUGGGUCUGUCCUACUCUGUGCCUCCCGGCUGAGCCUGGGACUUAUGAAGCUUCGUGCUCAGAAGCAGGCAGCCUUUCUCUGGGGUCGCCCACCAGCUCUGGCCUGCAGACGUCCCUUCCCUGGUGGCUUCUUAUACAGCCGUAGCUGUAGCUCCUGGCCGGGGCCAUGCCUCUGGGCAAAGCUCAGAGCUAAGAGAAUGAAAGAAAACAGGCAUUUCCCGCUGAUGCUCUUAGCUUGAGGGGCAAAUUCUCUCCGUUCCUCUGGCCUGAAAGCCAGUUUUGCCUCUUCUGUGCUUGGGGCAACACUGAGAGAGGCCAGAGGAAUCAUUGCACCAGGAAACACUCCAUCAUGGGCAACUUUUCCAUGCGGUGGCUCCCCUCUACCUGACCCAGUUGUAGUUACUACACCUGUUAGUUGUGGUCAACAUGGCAGGUAGAGGAGCUCGGGAAAUCUCCCUCUGUCGAAGUCAGAAGUGGCAUCCCACUUGUUAAUUUCCAAGACUGUACUGUUACUUCCUCCUACUGGUUUCAGAGUUAUUCGUUAGUCAUUUUGCAAUGCUCCCUAGAAACUACAAAGGUCUUCGUAAUCAAUAGACUUCUAAUAUUGGUUGAUACUUUUAUCCUACUUCUGUGCAAUGAAAGCACAUUCAGAAAGUUUACUUAUAUUUGUGCCCCCCCCCCCCCCGAUUUCUGGGCUGUUGUUGUUAUUAUGUCUUAAUUCUGUCUGUAGAUUCCGAGUUCCAGAACAUGUUAGUGUUCUUGUUUUAAUAUAGUUAGUAUUCCUUUGGAUAUAGUCUCACAAUUCUUCUGAUUUCUUCCAUCCUUCAAUUUUCCAUCGGCAGCCUUCUCAUACCAGUGUCUACCAGGUUUUCGAAAACCCACCUGGAGGUGUAGCUGUUGGAGACACCUGUAGUUAUUUCUGAUGCAGUCUAUUCGUUCAGACUUGUUACUUAUCAGAUAAAUUCCAGGCUUCGUGCAGCAGCCCUGCUGACCUCUGACCUGACUCGUCUCUGUGCAACGAUCCUCUGUAGCUGUUGACCGCCGUGGGUUACAUCCUCGCAUCACCUCACUUGUGUAGAGGCCCUCGGGGCCGUUCCCUGCCUCUGACAGCUUUGGGCAGGGACCAGAUCUCGCUCAUGCCUCUGAUACCUGUUCCUGAACCCAGGUGUGGAAUGAUGCUUAAAAGUACGUAUUAGCUGGAGCCAUGACGGAGCAGCAAUUAUCAAGAUUGGCAAGAGCGCAAGCAUCAGUUCAAGUCGAAAACAAUUUUAGGGGCCAAAAAUAGGUCGUGUUUUGUUGAGAUGCAGGAAAUAAUUUUCAUUAAUUUUAGUUUGAGGGCUUAAAAAAAAUAAAGCCUGUGUAAACACUUCUGAU